GGAUAACCGUGGUAAUUCUAUGGCUAAUACAUGCGCAAAUAUCCUUUUUCGCAAGAAAGAGGAUAGUGUUUAUUAGAUACAGAACCAAUACACCAUCUGUUUAUCAGGUGGUGUAAAAAAGGUGAUUCAUAGUAACCGAACGGAUCGCAUUAUGGUCAUUUUAUAUGGCUGGCGAUAGAUCAUUCAAGUUUCUGACCUAUCAGCUUUCGACGGUAGUGUAUUGGACUACCGUGGCAGUGACGGGUAACGGGGAAUUAGGGUUCGAUUCCGGAGAGGGAGCCUGAGAAACGGCUACCACAUCUAAGGAAGGCAGCAGGCGCGCAAAUUACCCAAUCCUGUCUCAGGGAGGUAGUGACAAGAAAUAACAACACUGGAAAUUUUAUUUCUAGUGAUUGGAAUGAUGGGAAUUUAUACCCCUUUCAGAGUAACAAUUGGAGGGCAAGUCUGGUGCCAGCAGCCGCGGUAAUUCCAGCUCCAAUAGCGUAUAUUAAAGUUGUUGCAGUUAAAAAGCUCGUAGUUGGAUGUCUGCUGGAAGCAAUCAGUCCGCCCUAUUUGUAGGGUGUGCACUUGAUGAAUUCUGGCAUCUAUGUCCCAAUAAUGUGGUGGUGUAUACCCUGUGUAUUACCCAUCUAUAUUGGGAUAAUACCGUUACUUUGAGAAAAUUAGAGUGUUUGAAGCAGGCUAAUUGCCUUGAAUACUGCAGCAUGGAAUAACAAUAUAGGAUUUCGGUUCUAUUUUGUUGGUUUCUAGGACUGAAAUAAUGAUUAAUAGGGACAGUUGGGGGCAUUCGUAUUUAACUGUCAGAGGUGAAAUUCUUAGAUUUGUUAAAGACGAACUACUGCGAAAGCAUUUGCC
rnacentral:rRNA from 1 species